AUUGGACCCGCUGAGCCAUGGUCCAAAUUAAUACUCCAAAGCAACGUUCCCAGGUCUGGGUACCCUGCUGGAUCUGGACUCCCUAGCGAGGACAUCAUGCAAGCAUUUGUGGUAGAGCGAGCUGACCCUUCCAUGUGGAGUAUUGAAUGAAGUUUUAUUAAAAAGCUGCAGCCUGGCCUCAGGUAUGCUGUGAGGAAUUAAGGAGCACACGUCCAGGGUUUGGAGCAAGAAGCCAUGAGCCUGCAGUGCACUUUCUCUGAGUCCUGAGAGGAUCCGAGUGGUGGCCAUCAGCAGAAGAGACAGCUAGGCCUCUCCUGAAGCACAGGAGCAGCCACGUGGAAGGCAGUGAAGGCAGCUGGCCAGACAGAAGAACCAGAAGGACCGGCUCCAGAUCAGCCAGGAGAAACUCUGAAAAAUAACCUGGGGAAAUAAUGACAGAAUCCCAGUCAAAGGACAUUCCACAAACAGCUGGCCUAUACUCAAGAAUGUGAAUUUCAUAAAAGGCACAGAGAGGCUGAGAAACCAUUUUAGAGUAAAGGAGACAAGAGACAGGACAACCCAAUGAAAUGUGUG
rnacentral:lncRNA from 1 species